GACGAACGCUGGCGGCGUGCUUAACACAUGCAAGUCGAACGGAAAGGCUCUGCUUUUGUGGGGUGCUCGAGUGGCGAACGGGUGAGUAACACGUGAGUAACCUGCCCUUGACUUUGGGAUAACUUCAGGAAACUGGGGCUAAUACCGGAUAGGAGCUCCUGCUGCAUGGUGGGGGUUGGAAAGUUUCGGCGGUUGGGGAUGGACUCGCGGCUUAUCAGCUUGUUGGUGGGGUAGUGGCUUACCAAGGCUUUGACGGGUAGCCGGCCUGAGAGGGUGACCGGCCACAUUGGGACUGAGAUACGGCCCAGACUCCUACGGGAGGCAGCAGUGGGGAAUAUUGCACAAUGGGUGGAAGCCUGAUGCAGCAACGCCGCGUGCGGGAUGACGGCCUUCGGGUUGUAAACCGCUUUCGCCUGUGACGAAGCGUGAGUGACGGUAAUGGGUAAAGAAGCACCGGCUAACUACGUG
rnacentral:rRNA from 1 species